AGGCACACGACGUCAAACCGACGUUGAUAAUAUGUAGAAAUUUGGUCAUGACGUCGGACACCAUAAAAUCGACGUCAAUUCAACGUUAGAAUUUCAAUGUUGAUCAUGUGUCAGAUAUCGACGUUGGAAUCACAUUGAAAUCUCGUUAAAAAUUCACCGAUCUGAAAACUGACCUAUUUUGUACGUUGAAAUGUGGUUGGAACCUGACGCUGAACCAACGUCUUUCUUCCACGAUAAAUUCACCGUCGAUUCAACGAUAGGAUUACAACGUCACUUCUACGUCCUAUACCGACGAUAAAUCACAUUGAAAAGUUGUUAGGAAUUCACUAAUUUGAAGACUCCUAUGCUCUAAAAGUUGAAUUUUGGUUGUAACCUGACGGUGAACCAACGCCUUUCGUCAACCAUAAAGUCAACGUCAGCUGAAUGUUAGAAUCACAACGUUGGUUAUAUGUCACAUGUCGACGUGGAAAUUACAAAGAGUUGUGGUUGGAAGUUCACCAAGAUGAAGACAUGACUUGUAUAUACUUUCUAAGUUGAAUUUUGCUUGUAACCUGACGAUGAAUCAAUGUCUGUCCUGAACCAUAAAGUCAAUGUCAAUGGAAUAUUAGAAUUACAACGUUGAUUAUAUGUUGGAUGUCGACGUGGAAAUCACAUUGGAAUAUUGGUUGGAUUUCACCAAGAUAAAGGCUGACCUGCUUUAAGUUGAAUUAAGGAUGAAAAUGGUUACUGAACUAACAUUUUCUUUUCAGUGUGAUAGCCACAUUAACUGUAAAGUGUAACAAAGUCACAAUGCCAAUGGAUAUAUACAUAUUCCCUACUCUUGUUGAAAAUCUAUUGUGAAUCUAACACAAUUUCAAUGUUGAUACUUUAUUACAUUUUGUAUUCUAUACCUACUGAUACCAAAAUGGAUAUCACAAUACUGUCACGAAAUGUGAGUAAUAACUGCAGAAUAGCAUAUUGUAACAGCAGAACAUUCGUGUCCCAGUGGAUAUAGCGUUAAUUGGCGUUAAUCCAUCAAGUACUACCUAAAAGGAAUCUAACUCUGUGUAAACACUAAUCCUCCCCAACGGCACCAUUCCGGCGUCUAUAGCAUUCAGACUAAUAAGGAUAUAAUUUGGGUUUAAAAGGGGUUACGGUCGCUGGUAUGGUUGGAACAUUAUUGGAACCUCCUUCUCCGCGCCUGUGCGUCCGCCGCCUGGAAAUUUACGAGGCAGGGUGAGUAUAUGGUGCCAUUUCUCCAUGAUUAUAACACGUUACCAUUCCAGAUUGCUAUGAAGGGUGAAUGGGUGACCAGUGUAGCUGUGCAGCCUAUGGAGCAUUGGCACAGUGCCCGGGAACACCGUGAAAUAAGGGGGGGUGUUGGGGGGUGAUUUGAAUAUGGCGAGUGAAACGUGAUUCGAUAUUUUCAUUCUUUUAUUUUUUGCUCAGCUUUUAGGCGUGUACAGAAGUUGUUAUUCACGUCAAAUGUUCUUGGAUACCUGGUUGGUGUAUGGUAUAAGCGGUGCACGUGAUGGGUAACGAUUAAUGGCUGUUUUCUGCUCUCAAAUAAGGCUGCGCCUCACACGUGUGGGGCGGGUCGGGGCGGGGCGUCUGCGUGGCGGUGCGGCGGGAUAUCAAAGUUUUACGGUUUGUUGAGUGUGUGUGCCGUGAAUCAACUCCUUAUUCACGCCAUUUAUUCCCCGAUACUUGCUUCAUACGUGACAUAAGCAACGCACCUCAGGGAUAACUAUUAAUGGCUGUUUUCAGGUCGUAAAUAUGGCUGUUUGGGGCUUCGUCAGCUUCGCCCCCCUCCAAACCCCAUCUGUCGGGAGGUGCUUCGCCCCCUCGACCCCCCCGCCUAUCGGGAGGGGCUGCGCUCCCCGUCGACCCCCCUUCCCUCUGUUAAACAACACUGGCACCUAGAGGCUAGAGCAGAUGGUUAUGCCCAUUCAUUUAGGUCAGUCCGCCAGUUAUUAACAAAUAAGAAUCCCGUGAGUGGAGAAACGGUAAUGCUAAUGCUCGUUAAACAACCGAAAAUUCUGCCGUCGGGCCCCCCCCAAGCUUUGUUCCUAGAUCCGCGCCUGCAUUCAGUCGUUUAUAAGUACCAGCCCGCCGUAGAUAUACAAGCCCCAGAACACAAAGGCCUCGCAGAUUUCACCACAUUUACCACUUUAUUAGGGUAAGUUUGAGUUUGUCAUGCAUUCACAGUUCAAGUUAAACAAUGUACAAGAGUUCUCAGAGUAUCAAAAAGGUGCUAUACCAUGUAUAACCUUAGUAUUCAUAGUAUAUAAGUUAGUAAGUAUUUUGUGGAGUCAGCAAAUUCUUUCUUGUCUGUUCCCAUUUCCCUACCUCAAGCUACUACCUCCUGCGUAGUUAUAUACUCUUUGUGUCAAGUAAAUUUAAGAGUGCUACCAUAAUACUCAUGUUAUUUUGUAUACAUAAUGUAAGAAUUAGUGCAUUUCUGUAGAUUUAUAAAUAAUAAGACAGGGUAUUAUGAAGUUUAAAGAUUAUUAUGAAGUUUAAUAAGUGCCUGCAAGAAUAUAUAAGCAAUUAAUUCUUGCAGGGUGCAAGAUAUGCAAGAUAUGCAAGAUACAUGCAAAACUGGAGUCAGAGGUUUGAUCUUCCACCAAGCACCACCGCCCACUUCAAGAUAUAUCUUCGAUCAGCUCUAUAACAGACUACUGGACUGUGGAUGUGUCAGACUAUAUAAUACAGAGUGUCCUAACUCAUCAGUCUGGGACAGAAUCCAGUGUUGCAGAGGCUGUGGCUAAAUGCUUGAAAUAUGCACCUGAUAGGAUUGGAGGAGGUGGACGGAAAGUCUCAAAUGAAGCAUCACCAGGUUCAUCUGACCAUCCUGGUCCCUGUUCAUCCGUGUCCAAGUCUGACCACUCUACGGCAACAAUCAAAAAGAGAAAGUUUGUACAUGAAGAGGUGUCACCUCCUUCAAGCAAUUCGUCUGGAACAACAAUGCUUUUACCACUGGAAAUUGAUGAAAUGUCAUCUGAGUCUUUGUUGGAAAAUGAAAGCUCUGAUGAGUGAUGAAUAUAUAUAUGUAUAGGGAAACUCAAUUUAGUUUCUGCAAGGUACAUGAACAGCCGGAGUAGAGAAGAGGGGGAUGAGAGGUCUCAUACUUCUAGAACCUUUAUUUUCUGCUCUGAUUGCGUCACCCUCCUUUUGUUGGAGGAAAUUGGCCGUAGCAUAUAGAUACUUAGUAAAGUAACCGAGUAGUAUAUCCACUUUGCUGCAACUGUAAUAUAUACUCCUGCAAAUACCUAUGCAUUAAAUAUCCAAAUGCAAAGUUAUGAUUUCAUAUUGGUCACUACAAACAUGCAUUAAUGUGUUGUAGCUUAACUUUUGUAUCCUAUGUACUUUGUACUAUGUACUUAGCUAACAUACAAGUCCAUGUAGUGAAAAACGCCUUUACAAGAUGUUUUAUGCAAAUGACAUGAAAGGUAAAGAUAAUAAUAAUAAUGUUGGUACACAUAUACAGACACUUUAUUUUUACCUACUGCAACUGUUUCUGUAACUUUCCCCAGUUUCAAAAUGAUGUUACCUACUCUGAGAAACCAUUGUUCAGUAAUGUUAAACUCAAAAUCAACUUAAAUUUUAGCUAAAGUCAAGUGUUUACAAGUUAUUCAUGUGUUCAGUAUGGGUGAU